CGGCGUGCUUAACACCUGCAAGUCCCCCGCUGAACCCGAGCGCGCUCUGUGUUCAGCUGAGAUCUGGUGAUUGACACGUGAGCAACCUGCAUUUCAGUCUCCCGAUAGGCGCUGGCAGUGGCGUCGAAUACCGAAUAGGAGCUGCGAUGGCCUCGUCAGCAUUCGGAACGACACUUCAUUCUGCGAUGGACGCCCGGACUAUCAACUAAUUGGUGAGAUAAUGGCUCACCAAGGAGAGAACGGGUAGCCGUCCUGAGAGUGUGACAGGCCACACUGGGAUUGAGGCGCCGCCCAGAUUCGUACGAGUGGCAGCAGUGGGGAAUAUGUGCGCAACGCACGUCAUCAGGAUGCAGCAUCGCCGCGUGAGGGAUCACGGCCGUCGGGUUGUAAACCUGUUUGAGCAGGGAAGGAGUGAAAGGGACGGUACCUACAGAAAAAGCGCCGGCUAACUACGUGCCAGCAGCCGCGGUAAUACGUAGGGCGCAAGCCUUCUCCGGAAUUAUUGGGCGUAAAGAGCUCGCAGGCGGUUUGUCGCGUCUGCUGUGAAAUCCCCAGGCUCAACCUCGGGUCUGCAGCGGGAACGGGCCGACUCGAGUGCGGUAGGGGAGAGUGGAAUUCCAGGUGCAGCGGUGGAAGGCGCAGAUAUCAGGAGGAACACCGAUGGCGAAGGCAGAUCUCUGGGCCGUUACUGACGCUGAGGAGCGAAAGGGUGGGGAGCAAACAGGCUUAGAUACCCUGGUAGUCCACCCCGUAAACGUUGGGAACUAGUUGUGGGGUCCAUUCCACGGAUUCCGUGACGCAGCUAACGCAUUAAGUUCCCCGCCUGGGGAGUACGGCCGCAAGGCUAAAACUCAAAGGAAUUGACGGGGACCCGCACAAGCGGCGGAGCAUGCGGAUUAAUUCGAUGCAACGCGAAGAACCUUACCAAGGCUUGACAUAUACGAGAACGGGCCAGAAAUGGUCAACUCUUUGGACACUCGUAAACAGGUGGUGCAUGGUUGUCGUCAGCUCGUGUCGUGAGAUGUUGGGUUAAGUCCCGCAACGAGCGCAACCCUCGUUCUAUGUUGCCAGCACGUAAUGGUGGGAACUCAUGGGAUACUGCCGGGGUCAACUCGGAGGAAGGUGGGGAUGACGUCAAAUCAUCAUGCCCCUUAUGUCUUGGGCUUCACGCAUGCUACAAUGGCCGGUACAAAGGGCUGCAAUACCGCGAGGUGGAGCGAAUCCCAAAAAGCCGGUCCCAGUUCGGAUUGAGGUCUGCAACUCGACCUCAUGAAGUCGGAGUCGCUAGUAAUCGCAGAUCAGCAACGCUGCGGUGAAUACGUUCCCGGGUCUUGUACACACCGCCCGUCAAGUCAUGAAAGUCGGUAACACCUGAAGCCGGUGGCCCAACCCUUGUGGAGGGAGCCGUCGAAGGUGGGAUCGGUAAUAGGA
rnacentral:rRNA from 1 species